UACAGAGGGUGCAAGCGUUAAUCGGAAUUACUGGCGUAAAGCGUGCGCAGGCGGUGAUGUAAGACAGAUGUGAAAUCCCCGGGCUUAACCUGGGAACUGCAUUUGUGACUGCAUGGCUGGAGUGCGGCAGAGGGGGAUGGAAUUCCGCGUGUAGCAGUGAAAUGCGUAGAUAUGCGGAGGAACACCGAUGGCGAAGGCAAUCCCCUGGGCCUGCACUGACGCUCAUGCACGAAAGCGUGGGGAGCAAAAGGG
rnacentral:rRNA from 1 species